rnacentral:rRNA from 1 species
AGAUUGAACGCUGGCGGCAGGCCUAACACAUGCAAGUCGAGCGGUAGAGAGGUGCUUGCACCUCUUGAGAGCGGCGGACGGGUGAGUAGUGCCUAGGAAUCUGCCUAGUGGUGGGGGAUAACGUUCGGAAACGGACGCUAAUACCGCAUACGUCCUACGGGAGAAAGCGGGGGACCUUCGGGCCUCGCGCCAUUAGAUGAGCCUAGGUCGGAUUAGCUAGUUGGUGAGGUAAUGGCUCACCAAGGCGACGAUCCGUAACUGGUCUGAGAGGAUGAUCAGUCACACUGGAACUGAGACACGGUCCAGACUCCUACGGGAGGCAGCAGUGGGGAAUAUUGGGACAAGUGGGACGAAAGCCUAGACUCCAGCCAUGCCGCGUGUGUGAAGAGGUCUUCGGAUUGAAAGCUAACUUUAAGGUUGGAAGGAAGGUUUGUAACUUAAGUACGUUAGUACUAACUUUGAACCGUUACCGACAAGAAUAAGCACCGCUAAC